AAUUAUUUGAUUAUCAAAAUUCAAAUCAAUGAAAUAGAGAGUGAAAACAUAUGAUAUUGCGCACUUAUUUUCUGUCGCUGUGUUCUUGUGUCUCCUCGCUUCAAAAAAUAAAACGGUGAUACAACUUAGAGGAUUGCAAACAAGUCAUGGCAGAUUCACGGUUCUACUUUGAUUCAAGAUAUUACAAAUUAGUGUUAAUCGGUCUUAAAUAGAAGGUGGAAGGUUAAAAUCUGUGAUAUUUAUAUAUCAUAAUUCAGAAUUGUGAUUAACAAUUUACUCCUGAGACUCCUAAGCCUUGAGGUACUGAGUGAUGCAAUGAAGCACUUCAAAAACUUAAAAAGAAGUAUGAUGUUGUUGUCAAUAUACAAGGGGAUGAACCACUCGUUGAACCUGAAAUUCUUGAUGGGAUUGUUAAAGCAUUGCAGGCUGCUCCUGCUGCAGUUGUUAGCACUGCUGUGACAGCCUUAGCACCCAAAGAUGCUUUUGAUCUGAAUCGUGUGAAAUGUGUGGUGGAUAUCACUUAUCAGUGGUUAUGCAAGUUAAUUGUCACGAGGAUUGAUUCUUUAUAACAAGUCAGGGAAAGGCACUCCAAAAUUUCCAUACACGCUUCACCAUGGAAUUCAGAUACAAAGUUCCUCAAAUUAUAUUCAGAGCUCCUGCCGAACCCUCUGCAACUAGAUGAAGAUCUGGAACAAUAAAAAAUCCUGGAGAAUGGAUACAAGAUGAAGCUGCAGUGUACAUUAAGAUGAAGAAACCAAAUACUGCUAUAAGCGAUGCCAAUACUGCUUUAGAGUUUUGCCAGUGGUUUGGUUUCCGCAGCAGAGAAGGUUCCCAAGGAGGGUUGGACAAUGCAGGAUGGAAUUCCAUGACCAUAAAACAACGUGCAUGAUCAUCUUGCAAUGAUCCAGGAUUGCAAACAAGUCACGGCAGAGUCACGGUUCUAGUUUGAUCUAAGAUAUUACAAUUUAGUGUUAAUCGGUCUUAAAUACAAGGUGGAAGGCUAUAAUCAUUGAUAUUUAUACAUCAUAAUUCAGAAUUGUGCUUCCUCAGAGAUCAACGAUUUACUCCUGAGACUCCUAAGGCUUGAGUCGAAGAAAGAGAGAUAAUGAGGUCAGCUGAGAGAAUGAAAGAGGCAAAGGAGCAUGGACUUUUGAAGAAGAUAGCAAGUUGGGGUCUUAAGUCCAAGAACAUGGUACAUGCAAUUGGACAGUCCUUCCUGAAAUUGCUGGGUUGCAGAGGAAUGGUAACAGCUGUAGAGUAAGGUGGAUGAAUCAUCUUAGCCCCGAUUUGAAAGGGGAAAUUUUACUACUGACGAAAGUCAGAUAAUUAUCCGUCAUCAAGCUCUCAAUGGCAACCGGUAAAUGCUCGUUCAGUUAUUGCCUGAUGUAGUUCCCUAAUGUGGUGGAUAACAGUGGUUAUGCAAUUUAGUUUUCACGAGGAUUGAUUCCCUAUUACAAGUCAGUCAGGGAAAGGCACUCCAAAAUUUCCGUACAUGCUUGACCUUGGAAUUCAGAGUUUUGAUACAAAGUUCCUCAAAAUAUAAUCAGAGCUCCCGCCCACCCCGCUGCAACUAGAAGAAAAUUUGAAACAAUUAAAAGUCCUGGAGAAUGGAUACAAGAUGAAGAUUGAGGAGCCGUGUGGUCGGGAUUAUACCCGCCAGGUAAACUUACUCGCGCUUCGAGAGCAAGUCUCUCAUUGAUAUCCCCAACAAGCCCAUGAUCCAGUCGAAGAAAGAGAGAUAAUGAGGUCAGCUGAGAGAAUGAAAGAGGCAAAUGAGCAUGGACUUUUGAAGAAGAUAGCAAGUUGGGGUCUUAAGUCCAAGAACAUGGUACAUGCAAUUGGACAGUCCUUCCUGAAAUUGCUGGGUUGCAGAGGAAUGGUAACAGCUGUAGAGUAAGGUGGAUGAAUCAUCUUAGCCCCGAUUUGAAAGGGGAAAUUUUACUACUGACGAAAGUCAUGUUUAAUAUACAAUCUUAAAGCUGCUAAUUCGUAAAAACAAUUGCUUUCUCCUGAUUAUUCUCUUGAGUAGUUAUCGAAUUCACUACUAUUACAUUCUUGCACAUCUUGUCAUAGUAGGCCUUUAUGUAGUCUAAUCCACCAAUAGUAGCAACAUCGUCAUAAUGUUUAGUCUUCAAAAUUAUGUUUUCCUUCAACACCACAAAUGUUAUCUAUACCAAGCUUCUUCUUCAGAUGGACAUGCCAGUAGUUUUUAAUGUCAUUAUCCGUCCUCCCAGGCACGUGUGCUGCAAUGGCAGCCCAUCUACACAUACACGAAAUUUAAAGUGUCAAAUGCAUUAACAUAAUAACAUAAAUUUAAUUAAAGAACAAAACAUUUCAAUUGAAAUCCUUAGAGCAUUUCCGAUGUGCUCUUUAAACAAGCUCUUAACUUUAAAUUUAAAGAGCAAGCCAAGAAUUAGAGCUUCAAUGGGCUCUUAGAGCAUCUCCAAUAGUCUCUUAGUUAGCUCCUAUAUAUAAUGUAAAAUAUUAAGCUCCCAGGAGGUUAAUACAUUACUAAGAGUUUGAACUCCAAUAAUGCUCUCUAUACACACUCCUAACACUAUAUUUUAUUAUUAUUUAAACUCCACUAUGACAAAAGUUCAAAGUCACAUGGGUGAGAGUGAAUAUUAAAUUAUAAAAAACAAGUUAAGAGCCAUGUAGUGGCUCUUAAAAAAGAGGAGAGAGAAGGGGCUCCUAGUAUUUUUAGGAGCCACUAAGAGCCUAUUGGAGCUCCAUUUUUUCUUAUCCUCUUUAUUUUUGAUUUUAAGAGCCAAUUUAAGAGGCUAUUGGAGAUGCUCUUAGAAACUCUUUAAAAAUUUAAGAGUGUACUCUCUCUCCAUUCUUUUAAAUAGCAUCUAGUAGCUCUUAACUCAAUAUAAUAUUAAUUUCCCUCCAAUCUUCUCUUUCUUUUGGUUGACUUUUUCCUCUCAUUUAUAUAAAAUAUAUAUAUAUAUGUAGAGUCAUGCUCCAUUAAGAACCAAUAUUAGCGUGAGAUAUGAGAUCCAAUCCUAACCACUCAUUUUAUAUCUUAUAUCAAUCUCUCAUCAUACAUUAAUUUUUAAUAUUUAAAUAUUUUAUCACUGUCUUUAUUCUAAUUCCACCACCUGCCACCUCCAACCACUACCGACCACCAUUUCCGGCGACCACCAGAAAAUCACCACCGUCAAACCAAAAAUCACCACCGGAAAACUAAAAAUCACUUCUGGAAAAAUGAAAAUUACCACCAGAAUAUGAAAACUACUACACCCAGCCAUUAUUCAUGCCCACCAGAUCCGGCCACCAACAUCGUUUAUAAACUCCGGUCAUCAACAUCAUGAAAAUAAUCACCAGAUUUUACUGGAAAUCGUAACAAUAAUCGGUACGUACCACCACAUCACCACUAUCACCAUCUACAAACCACCACCACUUUCUACAAAUCCCCCAAAUCUGAAAAAUCACUGAUUACAAAACAAAAUCACUAAAAAGGAACUCCGGCCACCAACAUAAUAACAAUAAUCACCAAAAACGCCAUCAUUCAUCACCGCCAUAAGCAUCUAUACAGACCACCACCAUCUACAAACCCUUCAAAUCAGAAAAAUCACCGAUUACAAAAUAAAAUCACUAAAAGUGAAUAAAAAUGAAUAACCUGCUACUUGAUAAUGCUUGAGGUGUCAGGAAUUAAUUAGGGAGAUUGUAAUCACCAAAUGGAGGUCGGAGAGUCGCCGGAAUGCUCCACCGAUGGACUCUCGUUUGCGAGAACGGGGAAGAGCAGAGGGGAGGCAGAAAGUGACGGGGAGAUAGGGAGGAGAUGAAAGGAGGAUGAGGUUUUGUAUAGUCAAGGAUGUGGAGUGGGGUUGCGAUGUCGCCGGCGGUGACAACACCACCGCGACAUCGGUGGUAGCAGCAAAGAAAGAGGCAGGAGGAAGAAGAGAUUGACGGGAAGGGGAGAAGGGAUUGCUUGCUGUUUGUGUAUGGCCGAGCCCAUCUCAGCAGCGGCGGAGAGAGGGGGUUGAGCCAUUGACGGCGAUGACGGCAACAGGGGGUUGGGGUUUUGAAGAGGUGAGAGAAGACAGUGGGUGAGUAGUGAGGAAGAUGGGUGGAUAAAAGAAUAUUUUAAAAUAGAAAUUGUGUGGUUGCGAUUUAAUUUAGGGGUAAACAUGUGUAGCUGAGAUUAGAUCUCACAUCUCACACUAGUUGGGGUUCUCAUUUGAGCACUUGCAUAUAUAUAUAUAUAUAUAUAUAUAUAUAUAUAUAUAUAUAUAUAUAAUAUGAAUAAGGAGCUAAGUAUAAAGAGUAGCAUUGGAGUUCUCACGUUUUCCUAUGUAUUAACUUACUAGGAGCCACAUUUUAUAUUAUUGUUUAAGGAAUGAUUUAGGAGCACCGUUGGAGAUGCUCUUAACUGAUAUUUUUUAUAGUUAAUACUUUUAAAAAAGUAAUAAAAUUUUGUUUGACAUUUUUAUUAGCGGUUUUGAGAUUGUAUCAUUAAACACAUAGGCCAAUACAUUAUUCUUUUAAUUAGCCUAUUUAAAAGAUCAAGACAAAUGGGUAAAUAAAAGUGCUGCUACCGGUUGCUGAAAAAGACUUCAUUAGUUUCUUUACCAAUGUACAUUUUUGGUGUUGGUUGCUUUUCCUGUGAACUUGGAGAAGAAUUACUAUGGCAGUGCACCUCGUGUACACGACUAUUUACAAGCACGGCGCCAACAACUUACCCUUUGGGGGGAUUUACAAUCAUAUGGUGGCCUAAGACUAGAUGGCUUUCUCUUCCCUCAAGUCUUGCUCAAAAUAUUUCAGAUGCCAACUGAAAGUGCUCUGUCUAUGCCUUUUUGAACAACAUUGGUUCAUUUGUUACCUCAUGCCUACAAUCUUUAUCGACCCAGCAACUACGUUCCUCCACAUGUCAGUGGUACGUAUCUUUAUUCAAAUCCUGGUACAGAUUUUUACUCUGCUGCUUGGGAUAUUAUCAUUCCGCUAGGAGGUUUGUUGCUUGUUGGGAUCAUAUUUUCGCAGCAAAGAUAUGGUGGCCGAGUUAUCCUUCCUAAGAAAUUCAGGGAGUUGGAAAUGUAUGCAAAAGUGCCAGCAAUUAGUACCUAAUGCUUAAUGAGGAUGUUGCUUAUCUGGUUCAGUAAUUUCUUAAUGUAUGGUUGCUGCAUGUGUGCUUUUUAUUUAUCUCAAAAUGAUGUUUGUUUCUUAAUAUUGGUAAUUUUAUUGCAUUUCCGGCCAUUUCUACAUGACUUUUGUUCGGUUGGUAGACUUUUUGGAAUAAAAUUUUUCUUUUACUUUC